rnacentral:rRNA from 1 species
UAAAGUAGUAAUAGUUAUGUUCUUGAAACUUAAAAAAUUUGGCGGUAUUUUAGUCUAUUCAGAGGAAUCUGUCCUGUAAUCGAUAAUCCACGGUGGACCUGACUUAGAUUAGUAUUUCAGUUUGUAUACCGUCGUUAUAAGAAUAUUUUAUAAGAAUAAUAAUUUUCUAGAAUUUUAAUAAAAAUUUAUAUCAGAUCAAGGUGCAGCUUAUGUUUAAGUAGAGAUGGAUUACAUUAAAAUUAUUUAUAUGGAUUAGUUAUUGAAAUAAGRCUAUGAAAGUGGAUUUGAAUGUAAAAUUAUAAAGAUUAAUARUUUGAUUUUAGCUCUAAAAUAUGUACACAUCGCCCGUCACUCUUAUUAUUAAGGUAAGAUAAGUCGUAACAUAGUAGAUGUACUGGAAAGUGUAUCUAGAAUGCAAUUUAAAGCUUAAAUAGUAAAGCAUUUCAUUUACAUUGAAAAGAUUUUUGUGCAAAUCAAUAUAAAUUGAUUAAUUUUUAUUUAUUAAUUAAUUUUUUAAAAAUUUUUUUAUAUUAAAAAUAAUUAUAAAAUAUAAUGUUUUAGUAUUGUUUAAAGAAUAAAUAAUUUUAAUAAUAGUGUAUUAGUAUUGUGAAAGAAAAUUGAAAUAUUU